rnacentral:rRNA from 1 species
UUUAUGGAGAGUUUGAUCCUGGCUCAGGAUGAACGCUGGCGGCGUGCCUAAUACAUGCAAGUCGAGCGAACGGACGAGAAGCUUGCUUCUCUGAUGUUAGCGGCGGACGGGUGAGUAACACGUGGAUAACCUACCUAUAAGACUGGGAUAACUUCGGGAAACCGGAGCUAAUACCGGAUAAUAUUUUGAACCGCAUGGUUCAAAAGUGAAAGACGGUCUUGCUGUCACUUAUAGAUGGAUCCGCGCUGCAUUAGCUAGUUGGUAAGGUAACGGCUUACCAAGGCAACGAUGCAUAGCCGACCUGAGAGGGUGAUCGGCCACACUGGAACUGAGACACGGUCCAGACUCCUACGGGAGGCAGCAGUAGGGAAUCUUCCGCAAUGGGCGAAAGCCUGACGGAGCAACGCCGCGUGAGUGAUGAAGGUCUUCGGAUCGUAAAACUCUGUUAUUAGGGAAGAACAUAUGUGUAAGUAACUGUGCACAUCUUGACGGUACCUAAUCAGAAAGCCACGGCUAACUACGUGCCAGCAGCCGCGGUAAUACGUAGGUGGCAAGCGUUAUCCGGAAUUAUUGGGCGUAAAGCGCGCGUAGGCGGUUUUUUAAGUCUGAUGUGAAAGCCCACGGCUCAACCGUGGAGGGUCAUUGGAAACUGGAAAACUUGAGUGCAGAAGAGGAAAGUGGAAUUCCAUGUGUAGCGGUGAAAUGCGCAGAGAUAUGGAGGAACACCAGUGGCGAAGGCGACUUUCUGGUCUGUAACUGACGCUGAUGUGCGAAAGCGUGGGGAUCAAACAGGAUUAGAUACCCUGGUAGUCCACGCCGUAAACGAUGAGUGCUAAGUGUUAGGGGGUUUCCGCCCCUUAGUGCUGCA